rnacentral:rRNA from 1 species
AGUGAACGCUGGCGGUAUGCCUUACACAUGCAAGUCGAACGGCAGCACAGUAAAAGGUUGUUAUUACGGGUGAAGAGUGGAGUAAUGCAGCGGAAUGUGUCGGGACGUAGGUGUUCGCUAGGGGUAAGGGAGGGUAAUAUCCGCUAAGACCGCAGACGAACUACGGGGGAAAGCAGGGGAUCGUCGGACCUGGCGGGAUGGAGUGAGCCGAUGUCGGAUUUGGUGGUUGGCGGGGUAAAGGCCCACCAAGGCGACGAUCCGUAGCUGGUCUGAGAGGAUGAUCAGCCACACUGGAACUGAGACACGGCCCAGACUCCUACGGGAGGCAGCAGUGGGGAAUAUUGGACAAUGGGCGCAAGCCUGAUCCAGCCAUGCCGCGUGGGUGAAGAAGGCCUUCGGGUUGUAAAGCCCUUUUGUUGGGAAAGAAACGCAUCAGGUUAAUACCCCGCGGUACUGACGGUACCCAAAGAAUAAGCACCGGCUAACUUCGUG